AGUAAAAAUCAUCUAGGUCUAAUUUAGUAGAGUGGGGGAUAGUUCAGAUCAAUUGCAAGUACUGUGGUGUAGUUAAAGAUUCAAUCUUUUAUGAUAUUGCACAAAUUAUAUAAAUGGAGAGGAACAGAUGCUCAUCUGUCCAUAACAUACCUGAAUUGGUUUGGUUAUCACAAGAAAUUAAAGAAUGAAUCUUUUAGUAUCUGUUAUUGUUCACUUGUGGCAAAACCAACCGAGAUGGUCCUAAGUUCUUUGUGCUUAAACAAUCUCUGUCAGGUUUAUGGCCAAUGUCAUCACAUGCAAUGGUUGAGUUCCCCGUCCCUGUGUUUUCUGCAACUCUUUGGCUUUUCCAGGGCCAUAAUUCAGAAAGUUUUUACAUCUUCAUGCUUGAAAUCUGAAAUAUUCUGUUGUACCAAACAGAGUGAAGGAUCAUAUGGAACAGAUCAUAUUUCACAGGGUUUUUGUGCCAAAGGAAAUGUUGUUGUACCAUCUUAACUCUUAACUGCAUUGCGAGGUACCUCUCUUCUGGGAUUGAGAGUAGAAUGUUCCUCAGAUUUGGCAUAUCUUUCUCCUGCACAAACACAGAAAAUGCUUCCCAGUUCAAUACCUCAAAAAAUGGAGGCACAUAAUUAUCUGAUAUGAUGACUGGCACACACUCAUAGAAAAUGGCCUCAACAACACGAGGAGUGUGAACUUCGUAACCCCUGGCACAUAUGCAGUACUUGCUGCCCUUCAUAUACUCUCUGUAUAAACUUUUCCCUUCAAUAUCACGGUGCAUUGGACCAAAGAUUUUCAUGUCAGAUUCUUUAUUCUGCCAGAAUUGCAGCAGGACUGGUCGCAGAUAACCGUGCAUGCCUCCUGCAAAGAAGGCCAGAAUAUGUCUUUCUGAAGGAGGCCUUCCUCCAAGAUCUUUCAGAGGAUUCUCAGCAGAACGUAUGUACGUGACUGGCAGAGUAGUAUCCUUCCCUAUUUCGAAACCCUUAGCAACAUUGGCAUUGCAAAGAACUCUAAUGCAAUUCCUCAUAUAUUGCCUUGUGAUCCGAGAGGCCCAGUCAUGACAGCCAACAAGAAAAUGAUCUGCUCCUCCAGUUCUGUUCCAGAAACUAUACUUCCGUGCAACUAAAUCCACAUAGUUCUUCAAAUAUCCUUCCAGGUCCCUCUGACUCUGUAAAUUUUGUCCAAAGAGAGUGGUCCUUAACAUUAGCGAACUAAAUGGCAAGUAGAACAAGUGAGCUUUUCUAGGGUCCCUCACUAUGAACUUUUUGUUUCCCUCUAAUAGUUUGAUAAACCAUCCUUCUGAUGCAUAU
rnacentral:misc_RNA from 1 species